rnacentral:miRNA from 12 species
AAGCCCUUGACAAUAUAUUAGA